GAGCAGCAGACCAAUAAUACAUGAUCCUGCCUUCUACAGCAGUCAGUAUCAGCUACUUCAGAAAAAAGGGUACUGGAAAUGGAAAUAAAGGCACUACGAGGUUUAGACAGCACCUGAGCAGGGUUUUAAAGAAUGCCAAAGUGUGGGUCACAAAGCAAGAACCACCAAAGUGAAGGGACAGUGAAAGCCACUUCCCCAGUCUCAUUCUCCACAGCUGUCCAUGGUUCAAGCUAUUUUUCCCCAGACA